rnacentral:lncRNA from 1 species
GGUUAGAAAUUUUAAAACAACACUAAAUUGUUUAGGCUUCAGUAUAUAGAGCGUUUAACGUAAAACUCAAUAUUUUCGUAGGGGGUUAACAUAUAGAUUUCGAGAAAAAAUCAAAAAAUAUAACAAUAUUGCUUUAAUGCAUAAUUACUUCAUGUACUAAUAUAUGGUGAUGGUCAAAGAGGUUUGGAACCUUUGUUGUCUUCAUUUCUCUAGAAAAUAGCGAUUUUAUAAUAAUUAGUCCACUAAUUUAAGGAGUAUAUGAAAUUUUACUAAAUUAAUUUAUAAAAAAAUUGAACGAUGCUCAUGUACCAUGAAAGUGAGUUUAGCAUACUUUAAUAUAAAUGUAUAAUUUGGUUAGAAAUUUUAAAACAAUACUAUAGAUUAUAUUGUUCAGUAUAUAAAGCAUUGAAAAAAUUCAAUAUUUUUGUAGGGAUUAACACAUAGAUUUUGAGAAAAUUUCAAAAAAAUGACAGUAUUGUUUUAAUGCAUAGUUGCAUCAUGCACUAACAUAUGAUGAUGUUGAAAGAGGUUUGGAGCCUUUGUUGUCCCCGUUUUUGAUGUGUCGAGUUUUAACCCGAUUAUCUAACUGCAAGUGCAC